AUUGAACGCUGGCGGCAGGCCUAACACAUGCAAGUCGAGCGGUAGAGAGAAGCUUGCUUCUCUUGAGAGCGGCGGACGGGUGAGUAAUGCCUAGGAAUCUGCCUGGUAGUGGGGGAUAACGUUCGGAAAACGGACGCUAAUACCGCAUACGUCCUACGGGAGAAAGCAGGGGACCUUCGGGCCUUGCGCUAUCAGAUGAGCCUAGGUCGGAUUAGCUAGUUGGUGGGGUAAUGGCUCACCAAGGCGACGAUCCGUAACUGGUCUGAGAGGAUGAUCAGUCACACUGGAACUGAGACACGGUCCAGACUCCUACGGGAGGCAGCAGUGGGGAAUAUUGGACAAUGGGCGAAAGCCUGAUCCAGCCAUGCCGCGUGUGUGAAGAAGGUCUUCGGAUUGUAAAGCACUUUAAGUUGGGAGGAAGGGUUGUAGAUUAAUACUCUGCAAUUUUGACGUUACCGACAGAAUAAGCACCGGCUAACUCUGUGCCAGCAGCCGCGGUAAUACAGAGGGUGCAAGCGUUAAUCGGAAUUACUGGGCGUAAAGCGCGCGUAGGUGGUUUGUUAAGUUGGAUGUGAAAUCCCCGGGCUCAACCUGGGAACUGCAUUCAAAACUGACUGACUAGAGUAUGGUAGAGGGUGGUGGAAUUUCCUGUGUAGCGGUGAAAUGCGUAGAUAUAGGAAGGAACACCAGUGGCGAAGGCGACCACCUGGACUAAUACUGACACUGAGGUGCGAAAGCGUGGGGAGCAAACAGG
rnacentral:rRNA from 1 species